CCCGGCCGCCUACGGGAGGCUACGGGAGGGAAUAUUGAGCAAUGGAGGACAAUCGGAGGGAGCAACGCCGCGCCAGUGAGGGAGGCCUUUGGGUGCCAAAAGUCUUUUAAUAGGGAAGAACAAGGGGAUGAACAAUAAGCUGUCACCUUGACGGUACCUAACCAAUAAGCCACGGCUAACUACGUGCCAGCAGGCGCGGUAAUUAAUAGGGGGCGAGCGUUAUUUGGAAUUAUUUGGUGUAAAGCGAGGGUCGGUAGUUU
rnacentral:rRNA from 1 species